rnacentral:rRNA from 1 species
UACGGGGGGGGCAAGCGUUGUUCGGAAUUACUGGGCGUAAAGGGCUCGUAGGCGGCCAACUAAGUCAGACGUGAAAUCCCUCGGCUUAACCGGGGAACUGCGUCUGAUACUGGAGGGCUUGAGUUUGGGAGAGGGAUGCGGAAUUCCAGGUGUAGCGGUGAAAUGUGUAGAGAUCCCGAGGAAUACCAGUGGUGAAGGCGGUGCGCUGGGUCAUACCUGACGCUGAGAUGCGAAAGCGUGGGGAGCGAACGGG